ensembl:lncRNA
GAACUCAAUUCCUCCAAUGGAUCCCAAUCCUGCCUACACGUCAGAAUCUCCUAGGGGAACCGUAAAAUGCGCAGAAGCAGGGUCCACUUUUAAUUUAACUGGUCUCAGUUGGAACAGAGACAUCAGUUCUUACAAGGAAUCUCCUCUCUGCAGCCAGGGAUGAGAAGUAUAUGGCUUCAGACUUUACUCUCAAGGGCAUGGUUCUUGGACCAGCAACAGCAGCUUCACAUGGGAGAGGGUUAAAAUUAAAACCCCCAGGCCCCUCCAGGCUCACUGAAUCAGAGUCUCCACAUGCAGGUACAGGCAUCUGUGCUUGCACUGGCUUUCCAGAUGAUUCUAAUGCUGGUUAAGUCUCUGCCUGCCAUGCAAGAGACAUGGAUUCGAUCCCUGGGUCCAGAAGAUCCCCUGGAGGAGGGAAUGGCAACCCACUCCUGUACUCUUGCCUGGAAAAUCCCAUGGACAGAAGAGCCUGGAAGGCUGCAGUCCAUGGAGUUGCUGAGGGCCAGACACAACUGAGUAACUCCACUUUAACUUUUCACUUUCAUGCAUUGAAGAAGGAAAUGGCAAGCCACUCCAAUGUCCUUGCCUGGAGAAUCCCAGGGACGGGGGAGCCUGGUGGGCUGCCGUCUAUGGGGUCGCAUAGAGUCGGACAUGAGUGAAGUGACUUAGCAGCAGCAGCAGCCAAGCAAGAGACAUGGAUUCGAUCCCUGGGUGGGGAAGAUCCCCUGGAAGAGGGAAUGGCAACCCACUCCUAUACUCUUGCCUGGGAAAUCCCAUGGACAGAGGUGCCUGAUGGUGGUCCCAAUGAGUCAAACAGAAAUAAGUGACUAACACUUUCAGUGUAAGUCUAAGAAGCAUUGCCUCAGAUCAGACAGUUCAGAAAUCCAGAGAGAUGGAAUGAUUAGCUACAGAGGUUGACAAACCACAGCCUGUGGGAAAGGUCUGGCCACUGCCUGCUUUUGUAAAUAAAGUUUUCUUGGUGCACAGCCACAUCUAUUCACCUCUAUGUAUCGCAGGAGCUGCUGCAGUGGCAGAGUUGAGGCGAGGCAGCCAAGCCCGAAUAUCCUACAAAGAUGAAAAGAUUUACUUUGUGGGCUUCUACCAGAAAAAAAAAAAAAAAUGCUGCUUGCUCCCUGCUCUGAGAAUACAUUUUAAGUUAGAGAAGGAAAAUGCAGAAUCCAGCUGUUUUGCAGCGGUAGCUGAUUCAGACUUAAGAGGAACAGAACCCUCGGCUGAAUGGUGACCCGAAUCGGCUCCAUCCCAGCGUCUGCAGGGCAGCAGGAUUCUGGGUCCUGAUCCUGGUCACUGGUCCGGAGGUGAUCCAGGUGGCCUCUGGGGGAAGGAGGGGCAUCAUCCUGAGGAGGACUGGCCCCAGGCCAGGUCUUCACGAAUCUCCAGCCUGCCCUUGGCUGUCGGAGACUGUGGGUUCCCUAAAUCCUCCCUAGAGGCCUCCAGCUUUCACAGAGAGCCGCAAGUUGACAGCUGGCUGAUCCAAGGGUCCAAACCAAGGUGCUGGCAGAACUGGAGGCUCCAGGGAAAACCCACAUUCAAGAUCAUUUAGCUGAUGGCAGCAAGGGGGAUUCAGAGUAGAGAACUGAGCUGAAGAGAUGGACGGAUGCCGGCCAGACCACAUACCACAGCAGAACUGAUCCACACCCUGCAACCACCAGCCCAGGAAGCCAAACCACAACCUCUGAAGCAGAACAUCCAGGAACUGAUUAACAGCUAGCAGCUUCCUUACCUUUUCCCCCACCUCCAAAUCAGGGCCAAGCAGAGAAAGCUAAAUAUGCUCCCCUACGCAAUCACGUUUCUAGUUCUUCCACCUCCAGCUUCCCCAGAUGCUCAUCAGAGCACCCUCAAAGCUUUCUCUUCUUAUUCUCAACAAAGCCUGCUUCCCACCGAGUCUGCCAAACACUAGUGAUGGUGGCUGACUCUCUUCCCAUAGCAAACUCUGGGGGAUCUUCCAGACCCAGGGAUUGAACCCACAUCUCUUACAUCUCCUGCAUCAGCAGGAGGGUUCUUUACCACUAGCACCACCUGGGAAUCCUGCACAUCCAGGAGCUAUUUGUAGUGGGUCAUAAAGGUUGUGGCUAAUAUAUCCAUGAAGUCCAAGAUCAAUGUCACCCCUAAUUUUACACUCCAUGUUGAUGUCGGCUCCAGCAAAGACAGCAAAAAUGCUGAAUUAAAUUCAACACAUGCCAUUCAAGAGAGACAUGGCUCCUCAAACCGCUUGAGGAAGAAGAAUCCCCCACCUUUUGAAUGCUUUCACUUCCUUUGCAAGUUCCUUUUCAGUCUUUCUAUUAAAUAAUGCCCAAAUUCUGACCAAAUGGAUAGAUUUCUUGAAGUCACUAAAGAUCCUUUUUGAUGGGAAAAGCUGCAGAUCAUUUUUCUUGUCACCCAUCGCUGAGCUUGACGUAAAAGGAAGGCCACAGUGUCAUGCCCCUCCAUUCGGGUUUCCCAGAGCCUCUCAGAUCAGAUCAGAUCAGUCGCUCAGUCGUGUCCGACUCCUUGCGACCCCAUGAAUCGCAGCACGCCAGGCCUCCCUGUCCAUCACCAACUCCCGGAGUUCACUCAGACUCACAUCCAUCGAGUCAGUGAUGCCAUUCAGCCAUCUCACAAAGCACCACACACCCACAGGUCAACUCUUUCCUGAAGGGGGCUUCCCUGGUGGCACAGUGGUUAAGAGUCUGCCUGCCAGUGCAGUGGACACGGGAAGAUCCCACAUGCUGCGGGGAACCUAAGACCAUGGACAACUACUGAAGCCUACUGAAGCCUACUGAAGCCCCGGUGCCUAGAGUCUGUGCUCAGCAACAGGAAAAGCCACCUCAGUGAGAAGCCAGUGGGCUGCAACGGAGAGUAGCCCCCGCUCACUGCAACUGGAGAGCAC